GAAAAGUCUGAUAAAAAACUGAAAACAGUAUAACCGGGUCGCUUUGCUGUACAGCAGAAAUUGACAGAACAUUGCAAAUCAACUACAAUUAAAAAAACCCUGAAACAAACAACAGGACUACGUCACAGAAGGGAGACACGUUUUUAACCAUGUGAUCUGUCUAACAGGCUGAAGACACAGCAGAGGGCCUGGGAUCUGGCCAUUGGGAGGUCGCUCGCUAACACCUUGAGAGAAGUUUCAGGAAGGAAGUAGGGGAAGAAGGUGAGAGGACCAGCUCUUCCCAAAGCAUGUUCCUCAUCAGCUGACAAGACUUACUUCCUUCACCCCAAGCCCCAGAGCAUAUUGAGAAACGACGAAGCUAGAGUCAAAUGGAAUUUUACCAAGCUGGACCAAAACCACACGUGCAGACUUUUCGGAUUCUUCAUCUCCAAAAAUAUGAGUAUGCUGCUAAGGUGUGGCCAGCCAGAGAGCGCCCCCGGACCUAAGUGUUCCCUGAUUUCUCUGUGCCACGCUGCUAUCAUUUCUCAAAAGUGAACCUUAGAAUGAAUGGCACCACAGGUUCGGGUAGAGCAUCUGAGCCGCAUGCUGCCUCGCACGGGGAGUGUCUGGAGAGCAGAGGCUGAACCAUUCUCAGUGCAACACCCCACUCCCCCAUCUUUAAUGACCAACGCGCCACCUGCCUGCCACCUCCAAGACCACACCCGCAUUUGGAAAAAGCCACGUGCGGAACACUGUGAGGUAGCGCACGACUACUUUUUUGAUGAAAAAAAA